AUUGAACGCUGGCGGCAGGCCUAACACAUGCAAGUCGAACGAGUGGCGGACGGGUGAGUAAUGUAUGGGAACGUGCCUAAUGGAGGGGGAUAACUACUGGAAACGGUAGCUAAUACCGCAUACCAUCGGAUGUACCCAGAUGGGAUUAGCUAGUAGGUGGGGUAAUGGCUCACCUAGGCGACGAUCCCUAGCUGGUCUGAGAGGAUGACCAGCCACACUGGAACUGAGACACGGCCCAGACUCCUACGGGAGGCAGCAGUGGGGAAUAUUGGACAAUGGGCGAAAGCCUGAUGCAGCCAUGCCGCGUGUGUGAAGAAGGCCUUCGGGUUGUAAAGCACUUUUGGCGGGGAGGCGUUAUUCGCAGAAGAAGCACCGGCUAACUACGUGCCAGCAGCCGCGGUAAUUC
rnacentral:rRNA from 1 species